GACGUAGGAGGCGAGCGUUGUCCGGAUUCAUUGGGCGUAAAGAGCACGCAGGCGGUUUGGCAAGUCGGAUGUGAAAACCCGGAGCUCAACUCCGGACCUGCAUCCGAAACUGCCCGACUAGAGGUAGGUAGGGGAGAUCGGAAUUCCCGGUGUAGCGGUGAAAUGCGCAGAUAUCGGGAGGAACACCAAUGGCGAAGGCAGCUCGCUGGGACGUUACUGACGCUGAGACGCGAAAGCGUGGGGAGCAAACAGG
rnacentral:rRNA from 1 species